rnacentral:rRNA from 1 species
UACAGAGGGUGCAAGCGUUAAUCGGAUUUACUGGGCGUAAAGGGCGCGUAGGCGGUAUGAUAAGUCAGUUGUGAAAGCCCAGGGCUUAACCUUGGAAUAGCAAUUGAAACUGUUGAACUAGAGUAGAGUAGAGGGGAGCGGAAUUUCCGGUGUAGCGGUGAAAUGCGUAGAUAUCGGAAGGAACAUCAGUGGCGAAGGCGGCUCUCUGGACUCAAACUGACGCUGAGGCGCGAAAGCGUGGGUAGCGAACAGG